UUUACGUAACUGAAUAAACUC
rnacentral:piRNA from 1 species